rnacentral:rRNA from 1 species
GACAGAGGGGGCAAGCGUUGCUCGGAAUCACUGGGCGUAAAGGGCGCGUAGGCGGGAUGGCAAGUCGGUCGUGAAAUCCUUCGGCCCAACCGAAGAACGUCGGCCGAUACUGCCAUUCUUGAGGGAUGCAGAGGAGACUGGAAUUCCCGGUGUAGCGGUGAAAUGUGUAGAGAUCGGGAGGAACACCAAUGGCGAAGGCAGCUCGCUGGGACGUGACUGACGCUGAGGAACGAAAGCUAGGGGAGCAAACAGG